AGAGUUUGAUUAUGGCUCAGGAUGAACGCUAGCGAUAGGCUUAACACAUGCAAGUCGAGGGGCAGCAUAAUUGUAGCAAUACAAUGGUGGCGACCGGCGCACGGGUGAGUAACACGUAUGCAACCUACCCAUAACAGGGGGAUAGCCCGUUGAAAGACGGAUUAAUACCCCAUAAGACAGGGGCACCGCCUGGUGCUAUUUGUUAAAGAUUAAUCGGUUAUGGAUGGGCCUGCGUUCCAUUAGCUAGUUGGUAAGGUAACGGCUUACCAAGGCAACGAUGGAUAGGGGAACUGAGAGGUUUAUCCCCCACACUGGUACUGAGACACGGACCAGACUCCUACGGGAGGCAGCAGUGAGGAAUAUUGGUCAAUGGGCGAGAGCCUGAACCAGCCAAGUCGCGUGAAGGACGACGGUAUUAUGUAUUGUAAACUUCUUUUAUAAGGGAAUAAAGUUAGGGACGUGUCCUUAUUUGUAUGUACCUUAUGAAUAAGCAUCGGCUAACUCCGUGCCAGCAGCCGCGGUAAUACGGAGGAUGCGAGCGUUAUCCGGAUUUAUUGGGUUUAAAGGGUGCGUAGGCGGGUUGAUAAGUCAGCGGUGAAAUCUUGGAGCUUAACUCCGAAACUGCCGUUGAAACUGUUAACCUUGAGUGUGAACGAGGUAGGCGGAAUUCGUGGUGUAGCGGUGAAAUGCAUAGAUAUCACGAAGAACUCCGAUAGCGCAGGCAGCUUACCAGAUCACAACUGACGCUGAAGCACGAAAGUGUGGGUAUCAAACAGGAUUAGAUACCCUGGUAGUCCACACAGUAAACGAUGAAUACUCACUGUUUGCGAUAUACAGCAAGCGGUCAAGCGAAAGCGUUAAGUAUUCCACCUGGGGAGUACGCCGGCAACGGUGAAACUCAAAGGAAUUGACGGGGGCCCGCACAAGCGGAGGAACAUGUGGUUUAAUUCGAUGAUACGCGAGGAACCUUACCCGGGCUC
rnacentral:rRNA from 1 species